AAGGGAGACCUAAUUCCGGUAGGAGACGAAAAAAAAGUAGUACCAACCGAGAAUCAAUCCCAAAAGGUCGGAGCGAGGCGAAAUUGGCUUUCAAACUAGGUUCUGGGUUCACACAAGACCUGAAUCAGGAACAAGGGCUAUUAGCUCAGGUGUUUAGAGCGCACCCCUGAUAAGGGUGAGGUCCCUGGUUCGAGUUCAGGAUGGCCCACCUGCACAGGUGGCAAAAACAAAGAAGCUCCGAAUCAGCACCUUAUCUUACUUAUAUAGUAAGAGAGAAUGCUGGCUCUGAGUUCAGAGUCCAGAGGAACCUUGAAAACUGCAUAGAGCUAGGUGAAAAAGCCAAAAAAGAAGACCGCAAGGUCAAGCUAAUAAGGGCUAACGGUGGAUACCUAGGCAC
rnacentral:tRNA from 1 species